rnacentral:misc_RNA from 1 species
GAUGAAGAACGUAGCGAAACGCGAUAGGUAAUGUGAAUUGCAGAAUUCAGUGAAUCAUCGAAUCUUUGAACGCACCUUGCGCCCUUUGGCCAUUCCGAAGGGCAUGCCUGUUUGAGUAUCAUGAACACCUCAACUCUUUAUGGUUUUCCAUGAUGAGCUUGGACUCUGGGGGUUUUGCUGGCUCACAGUCGGCUCCUCUAAAAUGAAUCAGCUUACCAGUGUUUGGUGGGUAUCAUGGGUGUGAUAACUAUCUACGCUUGUGGUUUUUCCACCAGGUAACCUUCAGCAGUGGAGGUUCGCUGGAGCUCAUAGAUGUCUCUCCUCAGUGAGGACAGCCCUUUGAAUGUUUGAUCUCAAAUCAGGUAGGACUACCCGCUGAACUUAAGCAUAUCAAUAAGCGGAGGA